AAGGUCUUCGUAUAUGUAAUUUGAUGUUUGCUUUGAGUACUUAUGUUUUUGGUUAUGUUAUAUGUAUGGUUUCAAAUUUUGUCAACCACUCAUUCUAACAUUGGUUUUGUAUGGUCCAAACAAUUCUACUUAGAUUUGGCUUAUAUGGACCAGUCAUGUAGUCUUGGUACUAACCAAAUGUGCAGAUCAAUAUAUAUAUAAAAAAUGGCCAUACAAAAGAAAGAUCAUGAAGUUGACAAGUUCACAUUAAACAUCGAUAACACAUUCACGAGGUUACAAAGGUAAAGAGAUUACGAAACAAAUACAUAUGAUAAUUACUGUCCGGGGGCAAAGUUAGUGGCGUAAGACCAGGCGUUGUUAGCCACAGGAUCAGCCAAGUGAUCAAACAAGUUCUCAAUGGGACCUUUACCAGUAACAAUGGCUUGGACAAAGAAUCCAAACAUGGAGAACAUAGCAAGACGACCGUUCUUGAGCUCCUUCACCUUCAACUCAGAGAAGGCUUCUGGAUCCUCUGCCAAGUUCAAUGGGUCGAAAGCACCUCCGGGGUAAAGUGGGUCAAGACCUUCUCCGAGUGGUCCACCUCCGAUUCUGUAGCCUUCGAUGAAUCCCAUGAGCACAACUUGACAAGCCCAGAUGGCUAAGAUGCUUUGCGCGUGGAUCAAGUUAGGGUUUCCUAGGUAAUCAAGACCUCCUUCUGAGAAGAUCUGAGAACCUGCCUUGAACCAUACGGCUUCUCCGAAUUUAACACCGUUCUUGGAGAGAAUCUCAGGGAAUGUGCAUCCAAGAGCUCCCAACAUAGCCCAUCUGCUGUGGAUCACUUCAAGCUCACGGUUCUUAGCGAAUGUCUCAGGGUCAGCCGAGAGUCCAGCGGUGUCCCAGCCGUAGUCUCCUGGGUACUCUCCGGUUAGGUAAGAUGGUGUGUUCUCCGAGAAUGGACCCAAGUACUUGGGACGGUCUGGUCCAUACCUGUUACAACAUCAGAUCGUUGGUAUUUAGACAGAUCUGAAGAUUUAAGGAUGAAACAAAUAAGAGGAAGAGAGAUCAGAU
rnacentral:lncRNA from 1 species